UGGAGGAAAGUAGGGGAUCGAAAGACCUUAUGCUUUAGGAGCGGCCGAUGUCUGAUUAGCUAGUUGGUAAGGUAAUGGCUUACCAAGGCAACGAUCAGUAGUUGGUCUGAGAGGACGACCAGCCACACUGGGACUGAGACACGGCCCAGACUCCUACGGGAGGCAGCAGUGGGGAAUUUUGGACAAUGGGCGCAAGCCUGAUCCAGCAAUGCCGCGUGAGUGAAGAAGGCCUUCGGGUUGUAAAGCUCUUUCAGUUGAGAAGAAAAGAUUGUGACUAAUAAUUGCAAUUCAUGACGGUAUCAACAGAAGAAGCACCGGCUAACUACGUGCCAGCAGCCGCGGUAAUACGUAGGGUGCGAGCGUUAAUCGGAAUUACUGGGCGUAAAGGGUGCGCAGGCGGUUCUGUAAGUCAGAUGUGAAAUCCCCGGGCUUAACCUGGGAACUGCGUUUGAAACUACAAAGCUAG
rnacentral:rRNA from 1 species